rnacentral:misc_RNA from 1 species
GAUGAAGAACGUAGCGAAAUGCGAUAAGUAAUGUGAAUUGCAGAAUUCAGUGAAUCAUCGAAUCUUUGAACGCACAUUGCGCCCUCUGGUAUUCCGGGGGGCAUGCCUGUCCGAGCGUCAUUACAACCCUCAAGCUCAGCUUGGUAUUGGGCCCCGCCGACCCGGCGGGCCCUAAAGUCAGUGGCGGUGCCGUCCGGCUCCGAGCGUAGUAAUUCUUCUCGCUCUGGAGGUCCGGUCGUGUGCUCGCCAGCAACCCCCAAUUUUUUUCAGGUUGACCUCGGAUCAGGUAGGGAUACCCGCUGAACUUAAGCAUAUCAAUAAGCGGAGGA